CACUUCACAUCUAGUCGUGUCAUUUCAUUUGCUUCCCUUGCCUGUUCUUCGAACUGAUUAAUCUGUAGGCUUAGAAUUUCAUUUGUAAGUGCAACAGGAGAUGCAAAAGAGAUGAAAUCUCUUGGGCUAGUAUCAUGCCCGUCCACACAAUUUUUUAUUACCUUUUAAACAAAUUUUUAAGGAUCAGAUUCCACCCACAGGGCUCUCCUGCCUGGCAGCUAAACAUGCUGCUGAUCUCUUUCAGUCAGGUGUAUGAGCAAAUCUUUGGCAAGGUUUACGGGUUGCCCAAGGCUGAUAGCUCAGUAUUACUGUUAGGUAGUGAUGAUCAACUAGCAAUGUCUGCUGGAAUGGGUUUGGCAGGGUUUUAAGGUGUGCUUGGUAGAGGUGUCUGUCAGUUCUUGGUGGCAUUGUCAGUGUACUCCCUCUGUACCUAUCCCUUUGCUACUUACCUCACAGUACAAAACUCAAAGCAAGUGGUGCCAGCAUGCUCAUUAAAAUAUCAGGUAUUACUCUCACCACUGCUAGUCAUCGUCCACUUCUGUUGAAUAAUUAAUCUGUAAGGGAGGAAGUAGUUACUAGGAGCACCCUAUACCAAACUGAGGCCAGCUCCCUGCAUGUACUCUGACUCUGAAACAAAUUAAAUACACAAGCAGACAUGAACUGAACAUAAAAAGUAAGGCAGCCUCAGAAUUUGCCAGUUUCCGAGAGCCUGGAGAAAUGGGAUGUCAACUCAAGCAUCAGCCACAGCAAUAAAAAGCCAUGUGACUUGGAAGACUUUUAACUUCAUCCUCUCCAAGAACUGCACCGGAUUCUCUGCACCUUCUGGCUCAUUCUACAGAGCUGAAAUCUCUGGACCUCAGCAACAAGGAGCAGGAGAUACUGGAGGAAGAAGCAUAGAGGGCAUUGCAUUGAGGAGGUGAAAGACAUAACUGGAUUUUCCAUGUGGGACUUCUUAUUGAAAGGAUGUGUUUGGAACAACGGUUGGAAAACCUGCCAGAUAAGUUUCUUGCCUUUGCCUGGAAGUUCAGAACUUCUGAAAUGCCCUCUGCAGAUACUGCAGGGAAAAAGAGGAGGCUGUGCUUGCCGUGCUUUAAAGUCCUGAAUUAAAGGGCUGUACACAAUCUUUCAGCUGCUUAUGG